UGCUGGGUUAGGCUCCGGUUCACCACAACCCUGCUUGGGACCAGUGGCUUCAGACAAUGUGUGGGUGUGUGAUUUUCUCGAUGUUUGAACAAUAAGGCAGGAACUCUACAUUUUUUUUUUAUUUAAACAAUGGCCAAACCUUUUCUGGCAGGGGAUCAUUUAUUUUUCUCUGUUAAUGGCAUGAGGUGUUCAUUGUAGUAAAAUAUUUUCCUGAGCAAUUCUGAAACUUAAGCAAUACUGGACGAAGUGUUUUGCAUUGAUUUAUUUUGAUGACUAUUUUCUACAAAGUGAUGUAAUUAUUUAACCAUUUAGGCAGCUGGGUAAUUUUACUAGAGCUAUUUAUACAGUAAAUACACACACACUCUAUGAAGCUGCUUGCCCCAAGUGGGGUCACGGUGAGCCAGAGCCCAACCCAACACACGGCGCAGGGCUGGAGGGGAAGGGGACACACCCAGGACAGGACGCCAGUCUGCCGCAAGGCACCUCAAGUGGGACUCGAACCCCAGACCUGCCGGAGAGAGCAGGGCCCAGCCAAACCCGCUGCCCCGCCAUACCCCCUUUAUACAUGCUCAAAAGCAAUACAGCUGAAGUAUCUGUCUUAUCCAAAAUGCAACUGCUGGUGUGGAUUUUAACCUCCCAAGAUGAACACAUCAGAACCUCCCUCCAGUGACUGCUGGUGCAAUUUAGGUAAGAUUUAAAACCCAAACCUUUGCCUGUUACCAAGUAAACAUUUGUAUUACUGCAUAUUCUAAGGAACAUGUAAAAGGAACGACCAGCAAGCAGAUGGAUGGACUCAACUACAAUGGAUACACCACUUUCAGGACACAAAGUGGUAAAUAGAAGACCUGAGAGUACGGUAUCUAUAUGUGGUCACCAAAGCUGACUUGACCAUACUUAACAGUAAAUGCACCGUAGUCAUGCUAUUUAGUUCAGAAUCAUGCAGCCUGGAGUUUCUACGUGACAUCUGUUGGAGAUACUUAUCACUAACAUUGUUAAGUGCCUCACUGGUGAAACAUUUACAUUUAUUUUGCUGAUGCUUUUUCCCAAAGGAAUUUACAGUAAUCUAUCCACCUGGGAAAUUCUUACUGGAGCAAUUUAGGGUAAGCAUCUUGUUCAAGGGUAUUACAGAAGGAGGUCAGAUUCAAAGCUGCAUCCCCCGAGUCUAGAUGCAGUGACUCUAAUCUCUACACUGUGUUACUUAUAGAGGUACUUAUCCUGCAUUUUUUUCAGUAAAAUGACCAUACUGUAUAAAUGGGUAAAUCACUGUAAUUACUUUAAUAACAGUGAUUCACCUUGGGCAAAGGUGCAAGUUCAAUGAUUAUUUUCAACGAAACUGCACAUACAGUGGUGCUGGAGGUAAAUGUAAAGUGCUGAGAUUAAAUUAAAGUAAAAAGAUAAAGUCCACGCCGUCGAAAACCCAAAUUAUUAGCUCAUCAUGCUACAAUCCCAGUGGUUUAGUUAUUCAUACAAAUGUUUUUGUUGGUGAACAGCUAACUGUACAAAAACACUAAGCCUAAUGAACUGUUGAAACGUCCACUUAAAACGUUUUUUAAAAGAGGAUUGCGUGGCAGUGGAGCGGUGUUCGUGAGAAAGCCAUUGAGGUUGCGUGCAAGGAGAUCUUACACGGGAACUAUGCACAUUUUUUUUCUGCGGUUGCGUGUGGAGCGUGUGCCAAAGUCGCUCCAGCGAGGAAGUGGAAUGACAGCUGUGUGGGCCAAUCGUAUCGCCCGUCAAAGAAUAAUAAAGAAAUGAACCAAUGAGUGUCGCCGAGCUGC
rnacentral:lncRNA from 1 species